CAAGAUUUAAAGGGUAUGUAGUGGAUGCCUUGGCACCAGCAGGCGAUGAAGGACGUGGUAAGCUGCGAUAAGCCUCGGAGAGCCGCAAACAGGCACUGAUCCGGGGAUUUCCGAAUGGGAUAACCUGAUACGGUUCAUACCGUAUCGUUCUGCUCUCAAUACAUAGGAGCAGAGACGCUAAACCGCCUGAAGUGAAACAUCUCAGUAGGGCGAGGAAAAGAAAGCGAAAGCGAUUCCGUCAGUAGUGGCGAACGAAAGCGGAACAGCCCAAACCAGGAGGUUUCCUCCUGGGGUUGUAGGGCCUCGACGUGGCAGUUGAAGAGUUAGGUGAAGCGGAUGGAAAGUCGCUCCACAGAGGGUGAAAGGCCCGUAACCGAAAACUCAACAACGCCUAGAGGUACCCUGAGUAAUGCGAUACACGUGAAACUUCGCAUGAAUCUGUGCCGACCACGGCAUAAGGCUAAAUACUCGCUGGUGACCGACAGUGAACAAGUACCGCGAGGGAAAGGUGAAAAGAUCCGCCGUGAGCGAAGUGAAAUAGUACCUGAAACCACAUACCUACAAGGUGUCAGAGCCGGCUUGUCCGGUGAUGGCGUGCCUUUUGCAAAAUGAGUCUGCGAGUCAGUCUGUGUGGCAAGCCUAAGUCCUUCUGGGAUGGAGGCGGAGCGAAAGCAAGUCCGAAUAGGGCGACAAGUUGCACGGGCUGAACCCGAAGCGGUGGUGAUCUACCUAUGGCCAGGUUGAAGCGUCUUUAAUCGGACGUGGAGGACCGAACCGGUGAACCUUGAGACGUUCUCGGAUGAGCUGUGGGUAGGGGUGAAAGGCUAAUCAAACCCCGUAAUAGCUGGUUCUCCCCGAAAUGUAUUUAGGUGCAGCGUCAUGCGCUUAUCGAGGGGGGUAGAGCACUGAAUGAGCUAGGGGGCAUACCCGCCUACCAACCUCAAUCAAACUCCGAAUACCCUCGAACGAAGCAUGGCAGUAAGACAGUGGGGGAUAAGCUUCAUUGUCGAAAGGGAAACAGCCCAGCUCAGCAGCUAAGGUGCCUAAAUAACGCUCAGUGGAAAGGAAGUGAGAUCUCAUUGACAGUGAGGAUGUUGGCUUAGAAGCAGCCACCAUUUAAACAGUGCGUAAUAGCUGACUCAUCGAGAGGUCUCGCGCCGAAAAUGAUUGGCGAUAAGCGUUAUACCGAAGCUCUGGACUACAUUGUCCAAGGGCAAUGUUUUGGUAGGGGAGCGUUCUGUAAGCCUUGAAGCGUGAAGGUGACUGACCGUGGAGUUUACAGAAGUGAGGAUGCAGACAUAAGUAACGAUAAGACGGGUGAAAUCCCCGUCCGCCGUAAACCCAAGGUUUCCUGGGCAAUGAUUUUCAUCCCAGGGUUAGUCGGGAGCUAAGUCCAGGCCGUUUGGCGUAGGCGAUGCACAGCAGGUCAAUAUUCCUGCACCGGUGAUGGUUAAAGCACAGGUUCGCGUCAAGGGAGAGAGCAUGCCGAUUGAAAGUGGCAGAAGGGUGCGGAGCGAUCCAAUCCUGGUCUCUUGAACUGAGCGCCUAGAAAAGCCUGUGCCCCUUUCCAUGGCCGCCCGUACCGCAAACCGACACAGGUGGGUGGGUAGAAUAUACCAAGGCGUAAGAGUGAAACCUCGUUAAGGAACUCUGCAAUCUAGUCCCGUAACUUCGGAAGAAGGGAUGCCCAAAUUUAUUUGGGUCGCAGUGAAAGGGGACAACCGACUGUUUAUCAAAAACACAGCAUUGUGCCAAGACGAAAGUCCAAGUAUACGAUGUGACACGUGACCAAUGCGGAAAGAUUAAGGCAAGGGGUUAGCCGUAAGGCGAAGCUCUGAACCCAAGUCCCCGUGAAUGUCGGCCGUAACUAUAACGGUCCUAAGGUAGCGAAAUUCCUUGUCGGGUAAGUUCCGACCUGCACGAAUCGUGUAACGAGUUGUCCGCUGUCUCAACGAGGGGCUCAGUGAAAUUGUAAUAGCAGUGAAGAUGCUGCUUACCCGCAGAAGGACGGAAAGACCCUAUGCACCUUAACUGUAAGCUGUCACUGGUCGUUUGGUUUUCAUGCUUAGCGUAAGUGGGAGGCUUUGAAGUGUAACUUUCGGGUUACAUGGAGCCAUCAAUGAAACACCACCCUUGGGUAUUGAACGAUCUAACCGCGGCCCGUCAUCCGGGCGUGGGACCAUGUCAGCCGGUCAGUUUUACUGGGGCGGUAUCCUCCCAAAGAGUAACGGAGGAGCGCGAAGGUUGGCUCAGCGUGGUUGGCAAUCACGUGUUGAGUGCAUUGGCAUAAGCCAGCCUAACUGUGAGACUAACAAGUCGAACAGACACGAAAGUGGGCCAAAGUGAUCCGGCGGUUUAAUGUGGAAUUGCCGUCGCUUAACGGACAAAAGGUACGCUAGGGAUAACAGGCUGAUCUUGCCCAAGAGUUCAUAUCGACGGCAAGGUUUGGCACCUCGAUGUCGGCUCAUCGCAUCCUGGGGCUGGAGAAGGUCCCAAGGGUCCGGCUGUUCGCCGGUUAAAGCGGUACGCGAGCUGGGUUCAGAACGUCGCGAGACAGUUCGGUCCUCUAUCCUCUGUGGGCGUAGGAAAAUUGAAGGGUUUAAUUCCUAGUACGAGAGGACCGGAAUUAACGCACCUCUGGUGUUCCAGUUGUUCUGUCAAGAGCAUCGCUGGGCAGCUAUGUGCGGAAGGGAUAAGCGCUGAAAGCAUCUAAGCGCCAAGCCCAUCCUAAGAUUAAUUUUCCCUGAAGGAUCGUGGAAGACUACCACGUUGAUAGGUCUCGGGUGCAAGCGCAGUAAUGUGUUCAGCUUAGAGAUACUAAUCAUCCGUUUGUCUUACAUU
rnacentral:rRNA from 1 species